rnacentral:rRNA from 1 species
GAGACAACAGGGAUUGCCUUAGUAACGGCGAGUGAAGCGGCAACAGCUCAAAUUUGAAAUCUGGCCCUCGGGUCCGAAUUGUAAUUUGUAGAGGAUGAUUUUGGUGCGGUAUCUUCCGAGUUCCUUGGAACAGGACGCCUUAGAGGGUGAGAGCCCCGUACGGUUGAAUGCCUAGCCUCUGUAAAUCUCCUUCGACGAGUCGAGUAGUUUGGGAAUGCUGCUCUAAAUGGGAGGUAAAUUUCUUCUAAAGCUAAAUAUUGGCCAGAGACCGAUAGCGCACAAGUAGAGUGAUCGAAAGAUGAAAAGCACUUUGAAAAGAGGGUUAAAUAGCACGUGAAAUUGUUGAAAGGGAAGGAUUUGUGACCAGACUUUUUCUGGGCGGAUCAUCCGGGGUUCUCUCCGGUGCACUUUGCCCAGUAAAGGCCAGCAUCGAUUUUCGGCGGCGGAUAAAAGCAGUGGGAAUGUGGCUCCCUACGGGGAGUGUUAUAGCCCAUUGUAUAAUACGCUGCUGGGGAUCGAGGUACGCGCUUCUGCAAGGAUGCUGGCGUAAUGGUUAUCAAUCACCCGUCUUGAAACACGGACCAAGGAGUCGAACAUUUAUGCGAGUGUUUGGGUGUUAAACCCUCACGCGUAAUGAAAGUGAACGGAGGUGAGAGCCCGUACGGGUGCAUCAUCGACCGAUCCUGAAGUUUUCGGAUGGAUUUGAGUAAGAGCAUAACUGUUCGGACCCGAAAGAUGGUGAACUAUGCGUGGAUAGGGUGAAGCCAGAGGAAACUCUGGUGGAGGCUCGCAGCGGUUCUGACGUGCAAAUCGAUCGUCAAAUCUGCGCAUGGGGCGAAAGACUAAUCGACCUCAUGC